rnacentral:rRNA from 1 species
AUUGAACGCUGGCGGCAGGCCUAACACAUGCAAGUCGAACGUGUGGCGGACGGGUGAGUCAUGUCGGGGAAACUGCCUGAUGGAGGGGGAUAACUACUGGAAACGGUAGCUAAUCCCGCAUACCAUCAGAUGUGCCCAGAUGGGAUUAGCUUGUUGGUGGGGUAACGGCUCACCAAGGCGACGAUCCCUAGCGGGGUUGAGAGGAUGACGACCAACACUGGAAGUGAUACACGGUCCAGCUUCCUGCGGUAGGCGGCGGUGGGGAAUAUUGCACAUGGGGCGCAAGCUGGAUGCAGCCAGGCCGGGUGUAGGAGGAAGUCUUUGGGGUUGUAAAGUACGUUCAGCGGGGAGGCGUUACCCGCACAAGAAGCACCGGCUAACUCCGUGCCAGCAGCCGCGGUAAUUC